CGCGGCGGGACCCGACCUCGGCCUGAGCGCUCGGCCCUGGGGCAGCCCGGGCCCCCCGCCGCCUCCCGGGGCCCCGCGCUCUCCUUGGGCCCGGCCUCCAGCCCGGGAGCGGAAACCUGCCUGUUGCUUUGUCUUCUUCCCUGACAGUUUUCCCAGCCCGAGAAAAGCACAAAGGAAGACUACAUUUCUUGGUCCAAUUACGUUACUAGUUCCGGUUCAUGGACUAUGUCCUGGAAGUAAUAUCUACCACUUCAAGGCCUGACAUCUGCAACCUGCCAGAGAUCCUCCAUGUUCUCUUCCCUGUGCGCUAGAGGGUUGUCAGUGCUCCCAGGGACCAGAGCAUUCACCAACACACAUUCUGUGAAGUAAGCAAGAAAUAAAUUUCCAAUUUGUUAAGCUCCAAAAACGUAAGGGUUUCCAUUAUAGCAGGAACUUUACUUACAUGGACUAAUACCUAGCUCAAACUACACUCAAUCAAGCACCAAUAAUAAGCAUAUCAUUAUGUGUUUUGAAAGCUGUAAUAGAAUUCUGUUGUUCAAAGAAAUGUGGAUUGAGUAUCCUGAAAACAAUUAUGAGUUUGAUAAUAUCUGCCACACUUAAAAGUGAUGUGGAGAAAAACUACAUUGGAGAACAGAGUAGUACUAUAAUAAAUGUAAAGUCUUUGUGUUA